AGGGAUUUGGUUGACAACAAACAAAAAAUUUAAAAAAAAAAAAACAUAUACAGUUUCCAGACCUUUUCAUUUCUAAUGUCCUCUGCAUCUAAGCUGACAGGUGUCUCCAUUGCAAAAAGUGCCAAUAUUUGAAGGAGGUGAUUCUGCAUUAUAUCCCGUAUGAUCCCAUAAUUAUCAAAGUAUCUGUAAACAAGAAGACACAAUAAGGUACUAGUUGCCUCAAA